UACGAAGGGUGCUAGCGUUGUUCGGAAUAACUGGGCGUAAAGGGCGUGUAGGCGGUUUUAUGCGUCAGAUGUGAAAGUCCUGGGCUCAACCUGGGGACGGCAUUUGAUACGGUAAGACUAGAGGUUAUGAGAGGAAGGCGGAAUUGUGCGUGUAGGAGUGAAAUCCGUAGAGAUGCACAGGAACACCAGUUGCGAAGGCGGCCUUCUGGUAUUAACCUGACGCUAAGGCGCGAAAGCGUGGGGAGCAAACAGG
rnacentral:rRNA from 1 species